ensembl:lncRNA
CCGGGAGUAGUACAGCCGAAAAGAUUUAUCCUUGUGUUGAAAACUCCAUAUCCCACAAUUCAUAGCACGCCUCUACAGAGUGAACAAUGGCGGCCACCACUUCGUUUUAUAUGUCUUUUAUUCGUGUUUCUAGGUCACAAAAUAAACUUUUAAGAUAUUUUCAGGCGAGAAUGUAGGUGUGUAAACUUCAAAUAUCUGCUUGUUUUAUCAAGACAUCCCAUAUUUAGCGACAGUGCUCUGACAACGUCGGUCCUGCCUGACAGCUAGCCGGCUACCUAGCUAGCUGCCGCACUUGGCUGCAAAUGGAUAGCGAGGGGACUCUCUCUGUCGUUUCACCUCCCCGGUCUCUCGCAAAUGCUCGCAUAGAAUCGGAGUUACAGCUGGAUGUGGAAAAAAUAACUGAGUUGUUUGGUGGUGCUAUAACGCGGAGCUACAACAGUGGGCAGCUAUCCACCGGUGUAUGACAGAAAGGACAUGCCGCGACCGCCGAUCGACCGGUGUUUGCUAACGCGGAGGUCAAUCGUGGAUCAGGGAAAGCGAAGGCAGGAGCGUGAGGUGAACUGAAUUUCAGGUAAGAAGUUAUGACCUGCACUCUAUUUGGGUCAGAUAUAAACAGAGUUUAGGUGUAGUUUAUUUAGCAGCAGUUCUCUUAUGUGUUGCUGAUAGCCGGCUAGCUAGCUAGCGCCGCUAGCAUAGUUAGCUAGCACCGCUAGCGACCCUUCGUGAAAAAGCACCCAGGCUUGGCUUAUAUUGAGGCGGGUGAAACUCGUGUCAGCACCCGGUCGCUCGCCGACAGUAUGUGUUUUAGCUGGACUUAUUUUUCGUUUAUAUGGACCGAUGAUUUAUUUAUUUAUUCAUUUUAGUAACGGUAUAAACAGUGAAAGGUGGUGGAUUGGCCAGAUGUAAACUUCAAAUAUCUGCUCGUGUUACCAAGACAUCCCAUAUUAGCUCUGAUGUUUUCG